rnacentral:rRNA from 1 species
CUACGGGUCGCAGCAGUGAGGAAUUUUGCGCAAUGGGGGAAACCCUGACGCAGCAACGCCGCGUGAGUGAAGAAGGCUUUCGGGUCGUAAAGCUCUGUCAGAUAGGAAAAAAGUUCAUAUGUAAAUAGCUUAUGAAUCUGAUGGUACUAUCAGAGGAAGCACCGGCUAACUCCGUGCCAGCAGCCGCGGUAAUACGGAGGGUGCAAGCGUUGUUCGGAAUUACUGGGCGUAAAGGGCGUGUAGGCGGUAUGGUAAGUCAGAUGUGAAAGCCCUGGGCUUAACUCAGGAAGUGCAUUUGAUACUGCCAUCCUUGAGUAUGGGAGAGGAGAGUAGAAUUCCCAGUGUAGAGGUGAAAUUCGUAGAUAUUGGGAGGAAUACCCGUGGCGAAGGCGACUCUCUGGACCAAUACUGACGCUGAGACGCGAAAGCGUGGGGAGCAAACAGGAUUAGAUACCCUCGUAGUC